rnacentral:rRNA from 1 species
ACCGACACAGGUAGUCGAGGCGAGUAGCCUCAGGUGAGCGAGAGAACUCUCGUUAAGGAACUCGGCAAAAUUACCCCGUAACUUCGGGAGAAGGGGUGCUGACUUUAAGUCAGCCGCAGUGAAUAGGCCCAAGCAACUGUUUAUCAAAAACACAGCUCUCUGCUAAAUCGUAAGAUGAUGUAUAGGGGGUGACGCCUUCCCGGUGCUGGAAGGUUAAGAGGAAUGCUUAGCGUAAGCGAAGGUAUGAAUUCAAGCCCCAGUAAACGGCGGCCGAAACUAUAACCGUCCUAAGAUAGCGAAAUUACUUAUCGGGUA